UCGUCGACUGAGCUUGUUGGGGUUCUUCAAUCUUCAAGUUCGACGCUUUUAUGCCUUCUCGUACUGUGACUUGAUCCCAAUCUUGCUUGAUUAAAUUGUUGGAUCGUCGUAGUUUUUGGUAUGAAGUCAUUCAGCUAUUGGUGUCUCGCUCAAUUGAUCCUUGUGGGCUUCUAGCUCCUAUUGAUGAUGAAACUACGAAAGCUCUAUCUCUGGUUGGUAAAUGUUUCGCCCUUGAUUCCUUAAUCUGCUGAAGAUAUCGUAAGAAGUUGUCACUUUACUCCUCUGCACGAACUUACUGCCUGAACUCAUUGAUCAUUGGUUCUUUUCUCCUUAACUUGUCUCACCAUUGCUUGUCUUUAAAUGUUGACCUUACUCUGUGCCUCAAUAAUCUAUCCCCCGGCAUAACCUAUGCCACAUGACAUCAUGAUUCACCUGUAAUAGUCUCACAAGAAAGGUUAGUACUAACCAAGUUAGAUUCAAAUACUAAUUAAUAUAGCAAGUCAUAUAAAACAAAACACAGUAUGAAUCAACAAGUGUGCCAACAGCACUUGACCAUUAAGACUUGAACUGCCUUUUACCUCUCUCCUCGACACAACACAACCUUAUCCCACAUGUAGCGAAGCUCAGCGGAUCCUCCUAUGAAAAUGAUGUCCCCACUUUCAAAAGAACUCACUCAACACUCUCCUCCUCCUUUGUACGUCUUACAGUCCUCCC
rnacentral:lncRNA from 1 species